CGAAGGUGGCAAGCGUUACUCGGAAUUACUAGGCGUAAAGGGCAGGUAGGUGGUUUGGUUAGUCUGUUGUGAAAGCUCCUUGCUUAACGAGGAGAGGCCAACAGAUACUGCCAGGCUUGAGUAUAGGAGAGGGUACUGGAAUUCCCGGUGUAGCGGUGAAAUGCGCAGAGAUCGGGAGGAACACCAAUGGCGAAAGCAGGUACCUGGACUAUUACUGACACUCAGCUGCGAAAGCUAGGGGAGCAAACAGGAUUAGAUACCCUGGUAGUCCUAGCCGUAAACGAUGCACAUUAGGCGUGAGGGGUAUCGACCCCCUUCGUGCCGAAGCAAACGCAUUAAAUGUGCCGCCUGGGGAGUACGGCCGCAAGGUUG
rnacentral:rRNA from 1 species